rnacentral:lncRNA from 1 species
CUAUAGAUCUGAGGAGGGAGAUUGUGCGGAAACAGAGAUUUCGGAGAGGGAAGGCUCAUGGCAUGAAUGAGACGUGCCUGAAAACGCUGCCUGGCAUGUCUUCACAGCAUCACACAGGUGGAAAGAGGGGAGAGGAAGAGACAAGGGAGGGGUAAAGGCUAUGGGAGGAGGUUAGCUAUUUGCUACUGCAUGUUUUUAUAUCUGCUGAAAACGUACAAUUACACAGCAUGCUGAUUUAAAUUUGCUUUAGCACCAGAGAUAAAAUUCUCAGAAGAUUAUCAACUUGCCUGUUUAUUAAAAAUCAAGCAAGCUGUGGCUGAAAAUGUUUAAACUAAAACUUAGACUCUUUGAGGGAAACCAAGCUGAACUAACAUUGCUCAAGGGACUGUGUGCAUUUUCUCAUUAUUGCUGGUGUACUUUGUCAGCGUGAGUGACACCCUUCUCUCCUCUGGCCUUCCGCUCCACUGGCUCGUGGCUAUUAUCCAUUCUCAAGGUGAAGCUAUGAAUAAGAGUGUUGUCAUUUGGAAGCCUGAGAGUGUGAGAAUCUUUCUCUUUUGCUCCUGAUUCUGAAUAAUGUUCACAAGCAAUCCAAGCCCAUGCUUUCACCUAUGAUGUCAAUAUAGUUCUCAUGCUUUUAUUUGGGGACUAUCUUGGGAAGAGAACAAAAAGAGAUCAUUAAUGGGGUGCCUCAUUUUAAGUAUAAAAAGUAUGUGUCCAGAAAACUGUAUUUUGAACCUGCCAAAAAUGGUUUCUGAAAGAAAUUUUUGGUGACUUGUUUUGGAAAGUUCUUUU